CUACGGGCGGCUGCAGUGAGGAAUAUUGGACAAUGGAGGCAACUCUGAUCCAGCCAUGCCGCGUGCAGGAAGACUGCCCUAUGGGUUGUAAACUGCUUUUAUACAGGAAGAAACCUACUUACGUGUAAGUAGCUGACGGUACUGUAAGAAUAAGGAUCGGCUAACUCCGUGCCAGCAGCCGCGGUAAUACGGAGGAUCCAAGCGUUAUCCGGAAUCAUUGGGUUUAAAGGGUCCGUAGGUGGUUUAUUAAGUCAGAGGUGAAAUCCUAUCGCUCAACGAUAGAACUGCCUUUGAAACUGAUAGACUUGAGUUAUUGUGAAGUAGUUAGAAUAUGUAGUGUAGCGGUGAAAUGCAUAGAUAUUACAUAGAAUACCGAUUGCGAAGGCAGAUUACUAACAAUAUACUGACACUGAGGGACGAAAGCGUGGGUAGCGAACAGGAUUAGAUACCCUUGUAGUC
rnacentral:rRNA from 1 species